rnacentral:rRNA from 1 species
UGCUCCUAGGGGCGCAGCAGUAGGGAAUCUUCCACAAUGGGCGAAAGCCUGAUGGAGCAACGCCGCGUGGGUGAAGAAGGUCUUCGGAUCGUAAAACCCUGUUGUUAGAGAAGAAAGUGCGUGAGAGUAACUGUUCACGUUUCGACGGUAUCUAACCAGAAAGCCACGGCUAACUACGUGCCAGCAGCCGCGGUAAUACGUAGGUGGCAAGCGCUAUCCGGAUUUAUUGGGCGUAAAGGGAACGCAGGCGGUCUUUUAAGUCUGAUGUGAAAGCCUUCGGCUUAACCGGAGUAGUGCAUUGGCAA